rnacentral:rRNA from 1 species
CCGAAAGGCGUAGUCGAUGGGAAACAGGUUAAUAUUCCUGUACCGGCGCUUGGCGCCAAAGACACGAUGGGGUAACGGAGAGACGAAGGUGAGCGGGCGAAUAGUCGUGCCCGUACAAGCCCGCGGGGUCGCUGUAGGCAAAUCCGCAGCGAGCAUCCUCGGAGGUGAUGUGGAGCGCAUCAGCGCGAACUCAUCGGAAGCUCUUCCAAGAAAAUCCUCUAGUGAGCCAAGAGCCGACCGUACCGUAAACCGACACAGGUAGGUGGG